rnacentral:rRNA from 1 species
CGUAUGGUGCGAACGUUGUUCGGAAUCACUGGGCAUAAAGAGCACGUAGGCGGUUAAGCAAGUCCAUUGUGAAAUCCCCCGGCUUAACCGGGGAACUGCAGUGGAUACUACUUGACUGGAGUGCAGGAGGGGAGAGUGGAAUUCCAGGUGGAGCGGUGAAAUGCGUAGAUAUCUGGAGGAACGCCGGCGGCGAAAGCGACUCUCUGGCCUGUAACUGACGCUGAGGUGCGAAAGCUAGGGGAGCAAACGGGAUUAGAUACCCCGGUAGUCCUAGCCCUAAACGAUGGGCACUAAGUAGAGGGAAUCCUAUAUUCUCUCUGCCGGAGCUAAUGCAUUAAGUGCCCCGCCUGGGGAGUAUGGUCGCAAGGCUA